CUGCUUCAGCCUUCACAGGUCAUCAGCCUUCUAAAGCCAUCAAAUCAUCCCCGCUGUUCAUCUCGUCUUCAGAAACCCCUCAUUAUAGAACUCAGUGUUGGGACAUUUGUUCUUACCUUCUGACUGUGAUCAUGAUCUGAUCCGUCGUCGGUGUUGGAUCGCAGCGUUGUUCAAGCAGACCAGCCCUGCAGAAGACUCGGGAAAAUCCUUUCAUCCUCCUCAGACAAUUUAAAAGUCCAGAGCUUCAAGCAGUAAUAUCCAACCUUAAAGCGACCAAGUCAUCGAGAACUUUUGAUGUGUUUCGGCUCUUUCAGUUCCCAACUUCAAAUCCACAUCCGGAAACAUCGGCGUCCCACGCUCCGCCCACCCCGUCGGUCCACCGGCUCCAGCUCCUCCGGGAAUAUCCAGAUCUGACCAUCAAAAUCCUGCUCCAGCUCCGGAAGGUCUCACAUCCACCCUCCCCUCGACUUGUCUCCUCCAGACAUCCAUCAGUCUCUCCACACUCCACAAACUCUAAUCCAAGCACCGAAAUCAAGUGUCCUGUGCGCCUGUUACCUGCCGUCCAGCUUCCAGGUUCAAGUCCGCUGUCUCCGCCCACCUGAGUGACGUCAUAGUCUGGCACCUGCAGGCUGCAGCCUCUGUAGUCAAGUACUGGCGGUUUCCCCGAUUUGUGUCCGCCUGAGAGACAUACAGACAAUCUCCUCCUCUGCUCUGGGGGAAAGUGAGAGUCACUGAAGUGUUUUUUAAACUCUUAACCCAGCGGGAGGUGAGGAGACGGCGAGUGAGGCGGCAGGAGUCAUCUGACCUCUGUGGAGGUGACAAAGAUGUGGGCUCAGCCAAGAGGCACAGAAAACACUCGUACAGAUAAGUGGUUUGGAGGUAUGAUCUGUGACUGACGGAAACGUCUUUCUUUACACUGACAACCCGCAGCAUACUCUCAAACUCAUGCACACAAUCGUCAAGUUGUAUCUUGCACAAAGUUGUCCCAUUUCUCAGGAAUCCUGCACUCAAUAGAAAGCAUUUUACAACAAUUAUUGUGCAGCUGGAAAUGGAAAAGCAAUUAUUGAUAGCUAUGGUCAAUAACUUCCUGCUGUUUGUUAGAAGCCCGGAGUGAGCUAAUGGUUCCACCUUUAAUGUUUAUUAUAACCUCUAAUAAAUAUUUUUAGAUAUAGUCUCUGAUAAUUAUCAUGAAAGGCAA
ensembl:lncRNA